GUUUUAUUAGCACCAGUGUGAUGGUUUUAGCAGCCCUGUGCAUAAAUAACUAUGAUGUCUUUUGUACAUUGUCAUAGUAUAUUACCAUUUGUAUGAUGUUUACCAGCAAACGAAAGGAGAGCUCAAAGAAUCUGGAAGCUUUUCAGUCCAGUGCAUGCGAGAACUCUGCAAAGAAGAAGAGUACACUAUCUUAAACAGUCUUGAGAAGCAGGAUGAGAUUGUGGAGGAGAGCACAUGUGUGGAGAGAGAAUGUCAGGAGAAGCAAGAAGAAAGGAUCCACCGUUGACAGGAACAGGAGCAGUUGGAGCCAGAAAAGCAACAGUGGAUAGAGGAGCAACAGAAGAUAUGUUGACUAACAUCAAGAAGUCACUGCAGGGUUAUCACUGCUGUCUGCAGUGAUAACAC